GGUGAGAUGGCCGAGUGGUUAUGGCGCUGCGUUCAGGUCAACUGAACAAAUUUCGCAGUGGAGCAAUCCGCGUGGGUUCGAGUCCCACUCUCAUCA